UACGUAGGUGGCAAGCGUUGUCCGGAUUUAUUGGGCGUAAAGGGAGCGCAGGCGGUUUUUUAAGUCUGAUGUGAAAGCCUACGGCUUAACCGUAGAAUUGCAUUGGAAACUGGGAAACUAGAGUGCAGAAGAGGAAAAUGGAACUCCAUGUGUAGCGGUGAAAUGCGUAGAUAUAUGGAGGAACACCAGUGGCGAAGGCGAUUUUCUGGUCUGAUACUGACGCUGAGGCUCGAAAGCGUGGGGAGCAAACAGG
rnacentral:rRNA from 1 species